AGUGAACGCUGGCGGUAGGCCUAACACAUGCAAGUCGAACGGCAGCACAGUAAGAGCUUGCUCUUACGGGUGGCGAGUGGCGGACGGGUGAGGAAUACAUCGGAAUCUACUUUUUCGUGGGGGAUAACGUAGGGAAACUUACGAUAAUACCGCAUACGACCUACGGGUGAAAGCAGGGGAUCUUCGGACCUUGCGCGAUUGAAUGAGCCGAUGUCGGAUUAGCUAGUUGGCGGGGUAAAGGCCCACCAAGGCGACGAUCCGUAGCUGGUCUGAGAGGACGAUCGGCCACACUGGAACGGAGACACGGUCCAUACUCCUACGGGAGGCAGCAGUGGGGAAUAUUGGGCAAUGGGCGCAAGCCUGAUCCAGCCAUACCGCGUGUGUGAAGAAGGCCUUCGGGUUGUAAAGCCCUUUUGUUGGGAAAGAAAAGCAGCAGGUUAAUACCCCGCUGUUCUGACGGUACCCAAAGAAUAAGCACCGGCUAACUUCGUG
rnacentral:rRNA from 1 species